UGCUCCGCAUUAACUAAUUAGCACUACUUAUUGCUAGUUAGGGUGAGUAUCAGAUUUUUGAUAAAGGUAGAGCAGGAGAUUAUCAGUUAGGUCAAUGCAUGAGUGAGGAGGGAAAAGGAGGAACUGCAUCAAAGUGCUUGUUAAACUGCUCAGCUGGCAUGGGGCUGAGACCUGCAUUUUACUCUUACUUUCUUCCAGGAGUCAAGGGAGAGUCUGGACCAGACACACAGCCUUUCAUAGUGCUACACAGCAAGAGCAGACAUCAAGUACUUCAGGAAAUUUCUGUGAACAAGACACGGCUAUUACACCUUGUGCUAUGUGUGCCAUCUGGUGGAAAACUAUAAGCUGAAGUAGAAUUUGGCAUGACACUGCUUUUAGAAGCCUAAUUAAGAAAGGCACAAGGCUAUCCUAGAAAACAGUUGCUACCUCCUAAAACUAGUGGCUAGUUUCAAUCUCUUAGAUAAACUUUCAUCUUGCUGUAUCUUGAUCAAAACAAAAUUUUGGCUGCAAUGCACUUCUGUAGCCUUCUACUCUACCACAAGUACUGCUCUCAGCUGAAAAAAAUCUGUAACCAUUCUGCCUCUUGAGGAACUGUACCAACAGCACAAAGGGAAAUGUAAAGAGAUCCUCGUAGUAAUAAAAUAGUCAGCUGUAGUUAACUGUUGGAUUUCAGAUGGCUUUAAUGUGAGUAAAAUCAAAGUGGAACUCUUAGUUUCUAAGCCUUCUUUAGAGGUACCUUGUAUCUAUGCACUUAAUUGGACCAGGCAACUUGCUAGGGCAGCUGCAAUACUGCUGCACUACAGUUACUGCUAAAAACCACACAAAACAGCAUCAUGUUAAACUCACACAGAAGGGUUUAGAGGGAAGACUUGUGACUUUCCUGAGUCACUGAAAUGGACUUGUACAACUGAACUUACACAAGACAGCUGAGGUCUGCCAAGUCAUCAAUGAAGUCAAACAACUGGCUGAUAUCGUAUGUAAUGGAUGGACUGUUGGGAUUCAUUCUCUUCAGAUGCUCUUCAUACAUUUUACAGACUCCUACAGAGAAACAAGAUUAACCAUGCAAUAUUAAAAGACUAUGAGCUGAAACUUUUUCAGCUCUUGAUCCACAAAUAAAAAUUUAGAGAGUACCACUGUAAAAGCAACCAAAUUUUCUAGAGCUGAAAUUCUUUUGUUCCUAGCAAUUUGCACUGAAACAUAACAGUAUAAAAUCAGUAAGCUCCAAAGGACAUCUGGAACUCCUAAUAAUUUUAAGACAGCAAUUAGAACAUAUACUCUUACUGCACAAACACCUGCGAAACAGAAGAACUCAUAAGAAUGACCAUUCUUGAUCCAAGAGUCAAACUGGGUACUGAGUUAAGAGUGACACCACAAACCUGCAUAUACAUUUAAAGCACUUUUAUUCAUUUAAACUAGUCUACUAAUAAUUCAGAUAGAUUAGAGAAGGAUGUAGUAUUAAAAUGAGCACAGAGACUUUGCAUGGUAUUGAUUAUACUUUUGUUUGCCUCAGAAAACCUCCUGCAAGAUUAAUAUUAAGUGAACUACAGCUCUAAUAUUUCAAUCUUCUUUUCAUGCUCAUUAUGUGUAUCUAAGUUUUGCAGGAUCUUUACUCUGGCACAUGUGCUAUGAGACUGCAAGUUAUGUAUCAAUUGCACACAAUCCUUUAUUUAAUAUAGUAUUUUCAGCAGCAAUCUUUGCCUUACAGUGCUAGGAAGAGUGAGAAUUAAGUGCUGAUCCUGCAAUGAAAUGCAUUGCAACAAGUCUGCUGCAUGGGCCCAGAAAGAAUAUCAUCUAAUCUCCCAAACUGGAUGUGGUUUCAUCUAGUUAAAUAAAAACCAGACAUUUAAUAGAAAAAGGAAGUUUUAGAAACAAAUAAUAACUAGUUUUAGUUUGCUAGAACAUUAGUGAGCUAAAAGCAUGAGGGUUUUUAUGAAUUACCUUUGAAAAACAUGAAGAGCAACUUAUUUUCUUACUAAGUUUGUGAAUAUGUCAAAAAUAGGAUUUAACAACAGUUUUUAACUCCCACGCUUGCAUCCACCCACCUUCCAUGCAUUCAUUCACCGACUCAUAAUCAGCAUAUGUUCUGCCUUCUGGCCUCUUGGUAGGCUGGACAAGUAGAAUUGUGUGAGACUGGAAAAGAAAACAAAUACAAAAAUACAGGUGACUUGCACACUUUGAAUGAUUUUUGUUUGAAUUAGGUUAUUUAUAUGAAAGAAGGAGUAAAAAGAAGCAUAAUAAUAAAAUACUAGACUAGCAAUCAAGGACACAGGCAUUUUCCACAUAGCAUUUACUAUUUAUAUAAGGUGUGUUAGUAAGUUUUGUUUCCAACAAGUCCUAUCAAUCCUUAUGGAACUUUAAAAUGCGUAGAAUCACUAGAAAAGCAGCUAUUGUGUUGAAAAAAAAUACCACAGAAACAGUUUCUAUUUAGACAGACAAGCAAAGCUAUAAAGUCAAUGUAUAAGAGCUGUGGCAUGAGUUCAUUUAAUUAUUUAUUUCCAAAUGCAGUCUGUUAGUAAAAUUUUCAGUGCUCCAAUUAAAGAGCAAUGAGGGGACCAAACUCAACACACUGCCAGUCUCACCUGAAAGAUUUAAACUAAAUUAGCUAUUUUGAGUUAUUGAUUUAACUUCAAGGGAACAUCAAUGAUACAAUAAAUCUGCACUUAGCACUCAAGAUUAUUUCUUGCAAAACAGAUGUACUGGUUUUUCCCACUUCAAUGAGUUUACUUAAACAGUAAUUACUGCUCAGAAAACUGUUCCAAAUGUUGGAGUCCAUAAGCUUGUUCUUCUGCAGGGAAAGCUUAGAUGACUGUACACUCUGUGGCUUCCAUUAUUUCCAUAACAUUUUUCACUUGGCUGCAGCAAGUAAUUUGAGCAAAGAAGCAAGAUUUUUGAAGUGUACACAAUCUGUGAUCUAAUUAACAGGUUGCACACCACAGAAAGUUUGCAAGCAUGCUCCAAAUGGCCGUCUCCAGAGCUGCUAGUUGGAUCCAACAUUUUCAGUGCCAAUAUACGAGGUGAGCACUCAACUCAGGGGCAACUGCAGAGUCAGACAUCAUUGGCUUAGAUUAAUCAGUGGCUGACAGAAAAAUCCUGACCCAUACUUUGGAAAUUAGUGAAGAUUAUGAAUUCAGUGCUCAUGAAAAGCAGUGACAGAAAAUAGAAAUGGCAAAUGUUAGGAUGUAAUGGAAAAAAACCCAAACAACAGGACAAAUUCUUAUCCCAUAACUGACAGUGUUCCCAUCCUUGGAAUAGUUUUCAGUUAUUUAAAUUGUCUCAACACAGCAGUAGCAGAUUCUGAGAAGUUCAGGAAAAUGUUACACAGAGAAAAAGAAGGAGCAAGACUUUUCCUAAUCAGAAAUAGAAAAAAUGGGAAUUCUGAGCUGCAUACUGUAACAACAAAAAUCAUAUAAAGGAGAGUAGAUAAUUUAAAUCCACUUUCAUGUAUGCCAGAUGAUUGAUUUGAAGGGAAUUCCCCAAGGAGGGCUGGUAUCUGGCUGUUCCUAAGUGCAUUGUACUUGAACAGGCAUCUCUUGGCAGGGAGUCCAAAUAACUGCCAAAGAUUACCAUAAAAUCAUUUUUGCAGCACCAUCAUUUUAAUUAGAUAGCCACUGAGGAGUGCUAAAUGAAUGUAUAAAUUCUGAAAUUAUCCAAGUAAUCAGAUUAUAGAAAAAUCAGUGAGCCACACAUGAAAGCCAUGGCACACAUGAAGUUGCUUCAGAACUUCACAGCAGAAAUAAUUUGUGCUUCUGACUUUAAACCAUUUAUCACUUCAGACACUAUACAAUAUCCAUUAUCAGAUACUGGCUCAGAAAAAUAUUUAAAUUAAUACUCUUGGAUCACAUGUAGUGUAGAAUUAAUGCUUUUAAACAUUAAUUUGGGAACUUGACAUUAUUUUACUUUAAAGGAAAAAAAAAUUGAUUUGAUAAAAUUGCUGGUCCUGUCCUACCACGUAGGUACAAAAAAGGACAGGUUCAGAAGCCUGAGGGAAGUCUCCUCUGACUAUUACCUGUCCCGUGAGCCUAGGUGACAUUACCAAAACACGGGAAGAUCCACAAACCUUUCUGCAUGAGCACCAGUUACCUGGAGAAGCCCAAUAUGGACAGUUAUUAUGAUACAUAUGUUGAAUUUCUUUGCGUUUUCCUUAAAAGCACAGUUGUACUGGCUGCUUUUAAGCAGGACACAGACAGACACCACAUGGUUUAUAUUAUACCAAUUUCAAACUUCUAGGCAGCGCUUUAGAAUUGCUCCUGCUACUGAAGGCAGAGCCCUGUAAAACUGGUUAAGGCAGUGCCAAGAGCCAAACCAGCAGGACUUAAAAGCCACACUGCAUCUGCCCAAAGAGGCUUCCACCAAUUGUAGUGUGUGUGACAAUAAAGCGGAAAGAAAAAAAAACCGCUCUGAAACAAUAAAAGUGGAGGAUAAACACAUAGUGUAAGGGUAAGACGUGCAGUGAUGCAAAUACCACCCAGCAGCACACUGCAGACAUCGACAGGCCAGGCAGAAAGGGGUCUAAGGACCACCCUUCACUCUGGCCAACAGGGACAGGGCUCAUCAUGGCCGAAGCCAACGGCACCGGAGCAAGGACAGGCAGACGGGAACUUCUCUGCAAGCCGACAGGCAGCUGUCCUCCCACCGCACGGCAGCGACUUGCUUCAGCGCCUCUUCAUUUAUUACACGAACGCAACAAACCGCGUGGAUAGCGAGGCCUUUGCGCUUCAGCGUGCCAUUCCCGGAGCCCCCCGAGGCAAGCUCCCGCCUUUCGCUGCUCCGAGCCGAGGGGAGGAGCGGGGAAAGCGGCGCGGAGAGCGCCAAUCAGCCAUUUAAGGCCGGCCCGCUCGGCGGGCGGCACUCGCGGGAGAGCGCUGGGCUUCCAGCGGCGCCCGGAGAAGGAGCCGAAGCUGCCGGGGCGAGGGGCGGGAGCCUGCAGCGCGCCGCUGCCCGAGCGCCGCCGCCGCCGCCGCCUUUGUGCCCCCGCCCCGUCCGGCCCUGCCCCGCCACAACGUGCAGCCGCCCGCCCGGGCCCGCGCCACCGCCCGCCGCCUUCCCGCCCGCAGUGGCCCGGGGGACAGGGAGCGGAGGGGAAGGGGAGGCUGCCCGGGCGGGCACAGCCCGCGGCGAUCCGCCCCGUCCCGUCCCG